rnacentral:lncRNA from 1 species
AUGGCAGCGAGCACACCAACGUUUGUGAGCAGCACCCCCACGGCCAGCCCGGACCUCUUGCCACACGCUCACUGUCACCACUGUGCCACCGAGGGAGCCACGGGUGCUGCCCGUGCCAUGCGCAUGCCCGCACAGCUCGCGGGGACGUGGCUCAAAUCCCACCGCUCAGCACCGCGCACCCCGCAGCCAGCAGCGCUUACCUGGGGAGGAAGGACAGCAAAAAUCCCCGCUGCGAAAGCAGUGCUGGGGCUUCCCUCUGCCAGCCUUUUACGCAGAACAAAAAGAGGUUUUCUGUGUCAGCCAGCCAAACUUCCCCCGCUGCCUUGCCUCUUCCCAGGCGCGGUUGCUGCCUCCAGCCUUUGUGUUUCUCCCCGGGGCCAGGAGGGAAGGGAUAACAGCAGGCAGGGAGGGCACGCACCGGUGCUGGACCAAGCAGCACGUCCCCCCCCGCUGCACCCCGCCGGUCACCCCAGCGGCACCUCAGGAGCUCAGCAUCCUGGUCCUGGGCAAGCAGCAAGAGGGCGCAUGCCUACAACACAGGCGUGCACGGCGCCGACAGGAGCCCAGCGUCAGGACCAGGGGAAAGGUUUGCUCUUUUUUCCGAGCGACUCAGCUGCGUGUCCCCGAGCACAAGCCGUGCGCCCUCAGCGUCCCUGCCAGGGAGAGGAAAGCCGCCGUGCAGAAACAGCCGGGCUGUUCUGUCCCACGCCUCUGCAGUCAGACUUCAGCUGCGGAAAACUGCUCCUUCCAGGAGGGUCAGGCUCUUCCUGCGGCGCAGAGAUGGAGCUCAGCAGCAGUCCUUCAGAACAAGGGCUGCUGGAGGAUAUCGCAAUUCGCCUCCGCGCUCCGGCCGAGUCAGACAGCUGGGGCUGCUGUGCAGCACACCGGGCUCUGGAGGAGCAUCCCCACCGCAAUCAUUUCACCUUGGGGCCUCGGCCGUGCCGUUUGACCUCCUGCGUGCCACCAUACCCCAGCAGGCAAACCAGCCACGAGCAGGAUCCUCACUGGAAGCCAGGAGCUGUGGCCGAAGCGAGCUUUCUCAGGGUAUUACAUCCAAAGCACCAUCAGAUAACCUCCCUGAUGCAGUCCAGGCACAGCUGUUCUCGGCCAGAAAUUCAAAUCACAGCUUCGUGCAGCUCCUCUAUCUGGAUUUCAGCAAAAGCAGAGACAAAAUCCCCCUGCUUAAGACAAGGAUGGUUUAUCUGCAGCACCCCCAAAGGGUUACACGCGGGAGGAGGGCUUGCAAGGACCUGCUGCCGCCUCUGGGAUUCUCUCCAGUGCUUUUCGCCUCCAGAUGGGCUGACCAAGCGCUUGUCGGCUGCAGAAACAGCAUUGCCAGGACCUGGUCAACCCGAGCAUUUAAAGAAAAACUAUCCAAAAUGA